UAAUCUUUGGUGUAAAAGCACGAAAAAUUUUGAUUUUUUAAGUAAUAAUUAUUUUUAUUAAGAUUAA
rnacentral:tRNA from 1 species